GUGAGCAAAAAAUACCUCUACUCUCUCUCUCCGGUUCGGUUUGGUUGCUCUCUCCCUUGUUCCGGUUCGUUUUGUUUCUUUUUCCCUCUGGUCCGAUUCGUCUCUGUCUGUUUUGGUUCGGUUCUGAUUUUCUAAACUUUGGUUUUGGAUUGUGUUUGUGGUGCUUGGAUUAUGUGAUGUUUAUGUUGAUUUCUGGAAAAAAAUUAGGAGGAUGAAAGCUCAUGAAUAUUCAUGAAUGUUGUUGGAGAGAGAGAAGGAAAUUGUGUUUGUGACUUGAUUGGAAAAAAUGUGUGGUUGCUGAUUUUUCUGUGAACAGUGAUUUCUCUGACUCAUGAACAGUAAUUUUUUUUCUCUGCCCAUUUCCCAAUGAUUGACAGGCUUUUAUAGUGACAAAUUAGGGUUGGCUCUGGUACCAACAAAUGACCAAAAUGCCCCUGCAGCUGAGACUUGG
rnacentral:lncRNA from 1 species